AGAAGGGAUCAUUCUGGCAUGCCCUUCCACCAUACCCCGUCAGUUGGUAAGGCAGGACACACGACACUGAUCUGCACAUAAUCCGCGGACCUGCUGGGACCUCGUCGGAGCGAAUUGCGGAACAACGGAAAAGAGCUCUCUGGCCAGUUUCGGAUCAUUUCAUGAAGACACGCGCGCGCUGCACAUAAGCGAUUAUUUAUUUUCCAAAUCUGAUUUACAAUUCUACGGGAGGACAAGGUGUUUGGUGUGGCGGAAAUGGACUCGUUUGUAAUGGUUGUCAUUUAUCUAAACAUGGAGCUCUUCCUAUGUACUACCAAUGAAAUAUAAUGUGCUGCCGAACUCCUACGCGCUUGUUAUCUUCAGGUGAGCUUCACGAAGGUCGACGGAGAAGGUGAGAACGAUUACUGAUUUACGGAAAUUAGAAGGAUUAUGUAUUUAUCUCUUCUGUUCGAACAAAAUGGCUCCAUAAAUAGUGUUGGAGCAGCAUGGAGACACGGGAAUCGGGGGCACCAGAGAAGUCUUCGUGCUAAAGGGUAGUGAAAGAAUAGAACAUACUUGUAGAAGAGAGAUGUCGAAUGAAAGAGAUAACGUACCGCGCACGCGAAAAGGAAGCGCAUCCUGUUCCGUUUGCCGUGACGUCAGUGCCAUGCGCAAUUGCUAAUUGACAAGGACAUACGGGAACCAGUACAUGAUGGGACAACGAAGCGAAAUGGAGGAGAUCACGUUUAUCGGAAAAGCGAUUGGCCAAAUAAUGCCAAGGAAAACACUCUAAUCUCUGAUUUUCCGAUCUUCCUUCCCGGGGGUCUCAGCACAAGAGGGGAACAUGCACAUACAGAACCAUGGGAGAGGACUCAUGGUUGGUUAGAGAGGGACGAGACUGACGGUAGAAGGUAGUUUAUGUAUUUGGCAAAACCUUAUUAACCGAUUAAUGAGCUAUCGGGCAGAGGAUCUAAUGGCGGAGGUGUUACAAAUCGCUUCAACUGAUCUCAUAUAUUGAGCGAUUGUGUGUGGGUAUUGAUCGAUUGUAUUGGUGGUGUACGAAUAUUCAUGUAAAAAAUCACUCA